UGGCAUAGUGGUUAAAGCACUCGGCUGGUAACUGAAUGGUUGGUGGUUUGAACCCACC
rnacentral:tRNA from 1 species